rnacentral:rRNA from 1 species
UGUUGUUUAGGGAAGAAACAAGUACCAAGAGGUAAUGGUUGUGCCCUGACGGGUUCCUAUCUUAAAAAGCCAAGGCUUAUUACGUGCCAGCAGGCGCGGUAAUAAGUAGGUGGCAAAGGUUUUUUCGGAAUUAUUGGGGUAAAAGGGGCGCCGGGCGGUUUCUUAAGUUUGAUGUGAAAACCCCCCGGGCUCUAACCGUGGGAGGGUCAUUUGGAAAACUGGGGGGAAACUUUGAGUGCAGAAAGAGAAAAGAGGAAUUUCACAGUGUGAGCGGGUGAAAAUGUGGUAGAGAAUGUGGAGGAACACCCAGUGGCGAAGGCGGCUUUUUUGGUUUGUAACUGACGGUGAGAGCGCGGAAAAGCGUGGGGAGCAAACAGGAUUAGAUACCCUGGUAGUUCACGCCGUUAACGAUGAAUGGUAAGUGUUUAGAGGGUUUUCGCCCUUUAGUGGUUCAGGUAAAGCAUUAAACAAUUCGCCUGGGGAGUUCGGUUGCAAGAAUGAAAAUUAAAGGAAUUGACGGGGGCCCGCACCAACGGUGGAGCAUGUGGUUUAAUUUGAAGCAACGGGAAGAACCUUACCAGGUUUUGACAUCCUCUGACAACUCUAGAGAUAGAGAGUUUCCCUUUGGGGGACAGAGUGACAGGUGGUGCAUGGUUGUUGUUAGCUUGUGUUGUGAGAUGUUGGGUUAAGUUCCGCAACGGAGGGCAACCCUUGAUAUUUAGUUGUCCAGCAUUUAGUUGGGCACUUUAAGGUGACUGCCGGUGACAAACCGGAGGAAGGGGGGGAAGAAGUCAAAUUAUCAUGCCCCUUAUGACCUGGGCUACACACGUGGUACAAUGGAUGGAACAAAGGGGUGCAAGACUGGGAGGUCAAACCAAUUCCAUAAAACCAUUUUCAGUUUGGAUUGUAGGGUGCAACUUGCCUACAAGAAGCCGGAAUUGGUAGUAAUUGGGGAUCAGCAAGCCGCGGUGAAUACGUUCCCGGGCCUUGUACACACCGCCCGUCACACCCCCGAGAGUUUGUAACACCCGAAGUCGGGUGGGGUAACCUUUAUGGAGCCAGCCGCCUAAGUACCCCUAUU